rnacentral:rRNA from 1 species
CCUACGGGGGGCAGCAGUGAGGAAUAUUGGUCAAUGGGCGGAAGCCUGUACCAGCCAAGUAGCGUGCAGGAUGACGGCCCUACGGGUUGUAAACUGCUUUUAUACGGGAAUAACGCGCCUUACGUGUAGGGCUUUGCAUGUACCGUAUGAAUAAGGACCGGCUAAUUCCGUGCCAGCAGCCGCGGUAAUACGGAAGGUCCGGGCGUUAUCCGGAUUUAUUGGGUUUAAAGGGAGCGUAGGCCGCAUGUCAAGCGUGCUGUGAAAUGUCCGGGCUCAACCCGGGCCUUGCAGCGCGAACUGGCGUGCUUGAGUCCGCGGAAAGCAGGCGGAAUUCGUCGUGUAGCGGUGAAAUGCUUAGAUAUGACGAAGAACCCCGAUUGCGAAGGCAGCUUGCUGCAGCGGAACUGACGCUGAUGCUCGAAAGCGCGGGUAUCGAACAGGAUUAGAUACCCGGGUAGUC